rnacentral:rRNA from 1 species
CUACGGGUCGCUGCAGUGAGGAAUAUUGCACAAUGGGGGGAACCCUGAUGCAGCAACGCCGCGUGGAGGAUGACGCAUUUCGGUGUGUAAACUCCUUUUAUAUGUCAAGAAAAUGACGGUAGCAUAUGAAUAAGCACCGGCUAACUCCGUGCCAGCAGCCGCGGUAAUACGGAGGGUGCAAGCGUUACUCGGAAUCACUGGGCGUAAAGGACGCGUAGGCGGGUUGGAAAGUCAGGUGUGAAAUCCUACAGCUUAACUGUAGAACUGCACUUGAAACUUCUAAUCGAGAGUAUGGGAGGGGAGAUGGAAUUAGUGGUGUAGGGGUAAAAUCCGUAGAUAUCACUAGGAAUACCUAAAGCGAAGGCGAUCUCCUGGAACAUUACUGACGCUAAGGCGUGAAAGCGUGGGGAGCAAACAGGAUUAGAUACCCCAGUAGUC